rnacentral:rRNA from 1 species
CGCUCAGAUGAACGCUGGCGGCAGGCCUAACACAUGCAAGUCGAACGGUAGCACAGAGAGCUUGCUCUCGGGUGACGAGUGGCGGACGGGUGAGUAAUGUCUGGGAAACUGCCUGAUGGAGGGGGAUAACUACUGGAAACGGUAGCUAAUACCGCAUAACGUCGCAAGACCAAAGAGGGGGACCUUCGGGCCUCUUGCCAUCAGAUGUGCCCAGAUGGGAUUAGCUAGUAGGUGGGGUAACGGCUCACCUAGGCGACGAUCCCUAGCUGGUCUGAGAGGAUGACCAGCCACACUGGAACUGAGACACGGUCCAGACUCCUACGGGAGGCAGCAGUGGGGAAUAUUGCACAAUGGGCGCAAGCCUGAUGCAGCCAUGCCGCGUGUAUGAAGAAGGCCUUCGGGUUGUAAAGUACUUUCAGCGGGGAGGAAGGUGUUGUGGUUAAUAACCGCAGCAAUUGACGUUACCCGCAGAAGAAGCACCGGCUAACUCCGUGCCAGCAGCCGCGGUAAUACGGAGGGUGCAAGCGUUAAUCGGAAUUACUGGGCGUAAAGCGCACGCAGGCGGUCUGUCAAGUCGGAUGUGAAAUCCCCGGGCUCAACCUGGGAACUGCAUUCGAAACUGGCAGGCUAGAGUCUUGUAGAGGGGGGUAGAAUUCCAGGUGUAGCGGUGAAAUGCGUAGAGAUCUGGAGGAAUACCGGUGGCGAAGGCGGCCCCCUGGACAAAGACUGACGCUCAGGUGCGAAAGCGUGGGGAGCAAACAGGAUUAGAUACCCUGGUAGUCCACGCCGUAAACGAUGUCGAUUUGGAGGUUGUGCCCUUGAGGCGUGGCUUCCGGAGCUAACGCGUUAAAUCGACCGCCUGGGGAGUACGGCCGCAAGGUUAAAACUCAAAUGAAUUGACGGGGGCCCGCACAAGCGGUGGAGCAUGUGGUUUAAUUCGAUGCAACGCGAAGAACCUUACCUGGUCUUGACAUCCACAGAACUUUCCAGAGAUGGAUUGGUGCCUUCGGGAACUGUGAGACAGGUGCUGCAUGGCUGUCGUCAGCUCGUGUUGUGAAAUGUUGGGUUAAGUCCCGCAACGAGCGCAACCCUUAUCCUUUGUUGCCAGCGGUCCGGCCGGGAACUCAAAGGAGACUGCCAGUGAUAAACUGGAGGAAGGUGGGGAUGACGUCAAGUCAUCAUGGCCCUUACGACCAGGGCUACACACGUGCUACAAUGGCGCAUACAAAGAGAAGCGACCUCGCGAGAGCAAGCGGACCUCAUAAAGUGCGUCGUAGUCCGGAUUGGAGUCUGCAACUCGACUCCAUGAAGUCGGAAUCGCUAGUAAUCGUAGAUCAGAAUGCUACGGUGAAUACGUUCCCGGGCCUUGUACACACCGCCCGUCACACCAUGGGAGUGGGUUGCAAAAGAAGUAGGUAGCUUAACCUUCGGGAGGGCGCUUACCACUUUGUGAUUCAUGACUGGGGUGAAGUCUAAAAGGGGGAACC